CAUAGAAUGAUAAAUAUGUUCCUACAUAUAAGUGAGAAUAAAAUACUAGUGUAAAAAACAGAGAAUUGUCUGAUAUAUUGAUAAAAAAGAACUGUCUACGAAAUCGUUUAAGGAUACAUGUUCAUUUAUGACGCAAGAAAAUUCUUCAAGAAAAGGAAGUUGUCGUCAUCGAUCGUUACGAUCAACCAUCUCCACCUACUUCUCUUCCAUAACGUAUACACAAGUUCGCAUAAUCGAGUGGGUGUGUCCGAUAAGGAACGAACGAAACAACGACAAAUCCAUUGACACACAUUCGAGGCUGAGGACGACGACUCGACUCAAAAUCCAGACAACAUAGAAUUCCAUUCGUGAAGUUUCUUCCGGAGAUACUUGUCGAGAUUCCUUUUUGCUUUCUCAAGCUUUUAUAUAAUCUCGACGCUUACUCCAAACGAUUUGAUAAUGACGGUGAGAACAGCCAGAAGUUAUUUUUAGGUAUGCUCGAUGCGGUUUGUUGAGCGCACGUACUUGGCAAGGAUGCUGCAUUACGGGUCACAGGACCUGCGCGAGAAACACUUGUAACGAAGGAGCCAAUAAGGAAAUUCGAACCAGUGUUGAUCACGUGGUAUGGAUCACGUGGGGAUUUUAUGGAGCGGCAGCUACGGUUAACCACUGAUUCGACUACCUUUUGGUAAAUGAAUGAACGAGAUUCAAAGAUUUAUAUGGCCGUGUUGUAUUCAUGAUACGUGGUUGCAGUCAUGAUACGAUAAUGAAUCGCGAGCGAAUCUCCAACGAUCGAAAGUGAUUUUCCUCUUCUCUCAAUUGCAUCCUCGCCUUCUUUGGGCGUUCAAGUAUCAAAUUAAUCGAGCGUGUAGUGCAAACGAGUACUUGUAACUAUCUAUAUACGAAGUCUAUCGAGCGUGAAGUUCGAAAAGAUUUCGAAUCGAGAAUCACGCACACUUAGAUGAUGCAAUCUGCUUAUCUAGCUCUUUCAAUAUAAUAUAUUUUACAUUUGUACAUUUUUAUACCAUUUUCUAAAAAUUUAUUGACAUUUUCUUCGCGGCUAGAUAAUUGUUUUAUUUAUUUUCAUUAUUCCUUCCAUUAUCAUGGAUCGAGUUUCUUCCUAGUAAAUGGACA